GGAAGUAAGAAGUCGUAACAAGGUCUCCGUUGGUGAACCAGCGGAGGGAUCAUU
rnacentral:rRNA from 1 species